rnacentral:tRNA from 1 species
GGGAAUUUAGCUCAACGGCCUAAGCACCUGCCUUGCAAGCAGGCGGUUGGGGGGGGGGGUAAAAAUAAAAUUUAAUUGCCA